rnacentral:rRNA from 1 species
GAUGAACGCUGGCGGCGUGCCUAAUACAUGCAAGUCGAGCGAAUGGAUUGAGAGCUUGCUCUCAAGGAGUUAGCGGCGGACGGGUGAGUAACACGUGGGUAACCUGCCCAUAAGACUGGGAUAACUCCGGGAAACCGGGGCUAAUACCGGAUAAUAUUUUGAACUGCAUGGUUCGAAAUUGAAAGGCGGCUUCGGCUGUCACUUAUGGAUGGACCCGCGUCGCAUUAGCUAGUUGGUGAGGUCACGGCUCACCAAGGCAACGAUGCGUAGCCGACCUGGGAGGGUGAUCGGCCACACUGGGACUGAGACCCGGCCCAGACUCCCACGGGAGGCAGCAGUAGGGAAUCUUCCGCAAUGGACGAAAGUCUGACGGAGCAACGCCGCGUGAGUGAUGAAGGCUUUCGGGUCGUAAAACUCUGUUGUUAGGGAAGAACAAGUGCUAGUUGAAUAAGCUGGCACCUUGACGGUACCUAACCAGAAAGCCACGGCUAACUACGUGCCAGCCGCCGCAGUAA